rnacentral:sRNA from 2 species
UCACCCGUAGCGCCGAACUCCAUCCAACGGGCGAGGAAAACCACAAAUACCUGAUGGAUGGAGGCGGGGGACCCACCGGGUCCGCCGAGAGCGGACCGGGAGCCGUUAACCGGCUCCUCGGGGUGAAGCCGAUGACGCACCGCGUGCGGCAAGGCCGGGCAGUCCCUCACUGUCCGAACCCGACGCUGACCUCGCAGGCGUAGACAGAGAGGAAUU